UUUCCUCUUCCUGUCUGUCAUGUCCAGCCUGUGAAGAGCACGCUGGCUGAGCUGGCGAGAGGGGUGGGGGCGUCCUGGGGCUGCUUCUGCUCUGAUGAAGGCACCCACUGUCACUGUCCCGGCCCUCGCUGAGUGUUCCCGGACCCGUGGGCCCGCGUCUGUGCCAGGCCUUGGGGAGCUCCAGCCUCGGAGCCUCUUCCCGUUCUCAGACCUCAGUGCGAGGAGGAAAUCGGGUGCCUAGUGGGGCACUACCUGUCUGGAAGUAUUUUACACGAAGUUUAAGCCUUGAGAUUUCCUGGAGCAGGACCUCUGAAGUCACCAUCACAAAUGGCAGGCCCACACAAGGACUGAUUUACUUCUGACUCACCCAUGGCCUUCAGGCUUAGAGUUGGGGCCUUGUCGGAUUCCUCUCUCUUACCAACUCUGGGCUUUGACUCUGUUGUCCCUAAUGCCAUGCUGAUAAAUAAUUAAUAACUGGCUCUUCAUAAAAAAAAACAGUUUUGAUCUGUAGCACCUGCCAAUUCCCAUGGUGUAAACACUCCUGCCAUGGCUGACUUCAAGUUACCAACACAACAUCACUGAGUGUGGGAUUGGAAAAAGAUGCCCAUGGCUGGCUCUUAAGAGUCCUCUGAGCCUUGCUGGUUCUCCCUCACCUGCCAUUGAGGGGGCUGAUGGGUGCAACAGUCAUUCCUGAGGCUGCAAAGUUCUUUAAAGCAGAAGCAGCUGACUCUUGCUUAUGUUUUGCAGUACUUGCUGGGCUCUCAACUCCUCCAAGGUUUUGGCCUGGUAGUGCAUUCUUUGCUACCUGAUUUGCUCUUUUCUGCUUUAAAGAAGAUUGGAAAAAAAUUUUUUUUUUGAGACAGGGUCUCACUCUGUCACCUAGGCUGAUCGUGGCUCACUGCAUCCUCCACCUCUCAGGCUCAAGGGAUCCUCCUACCUCAGCCCCCCAAGUAGCUAAGACCACAGGUGUGCGCCACCACAUUAGGCUAGGUUAUUAUUAUUUUUUUUUUGUAUUUUUGGUAGUAGAGACGGGGUUUCUCUAUAUUGUCCAGGCUGGUCCUGAGCUCCUGGCCACGAGUGAGCCACCCACCUUGACCUCCCAAAGUGCUGGGAUUAUAGGCAUGGGCCACCAUGCCUGGCCAAUUGAAAUAUUUUAAUCCAGCUUUUCUAGUUGUGUUCAGUGGAAGAGUUGGUCCUAGUCACUAAUCUGCUACUUAUGGACAGAGACAUCUCCUAUUUUCUGUUGUAAGGACAGGAAAAAGCAGAAAAUAUAGAAAAGGAAAUAAAGAGCAACCAUCUCUCAAUAGUACUGCUGCCCAACAAGAACACUGCUGACAUUUGGAAACUGUUUUCCAAUUUGAUUCUUAUUGGAAAGCAUAACAACCAGCCAGGGCCUGUGCUGCUGGAGCGGGCAGUUAUGUGCAGGGAGACAGCUGGUUACGGCUGGCUCCUGGCCUCGACGGAGCUUCUCAGCCUCUUGGAGCCUCUGUCCCCUCAGCUGCUGAAGGAACACAUCUCCUGCACUUCUCAAGUUGCUGCCGGUGCGAAGGUGACUCCAGAUUCUGCAGUUUGGGCUCCGUAGCUGCUCAGCAAAUGUCAGCAGGUCCAGAAGCAAGGCUCCUCAGCUGCAGAGUGAAUGCAAAUGUCCCCAUUGUAAAUGGCCGUGGGGCCCAGGGCUCUGCAACCUUGGAUGCCCAGGAUCAGACCAGCUGUCCGCCGCUUUGGAAUCUGGGUUUAUGGGGGACCCGGGCCUCAUAAAUGUCAAAGCGUGCAUUCUCGGCAGUCCAGGAGUCGGAAAACGUGUCUCUGAGGGGAGCAUUCCUUCCAUGCACACAGCUGCCUGGCUCACGUUUUUAUCCUCGAGCCAUAAUUAGUCCUUUCCCCUGACCCUGAAUUCCUGCCCCGGCCAGAAGCAUGCUGUGGCCCUGGGGCCCGCGGCUCCUGGUGGUCGGUGCCCCUUCUGCUCUCCUGCAGCUGCGGCAGGUGGAAGAGCUGUCGGGGGUGGGAAGGGGGCUUGGAGGGAUAAGGAUGGGCUGGGGAGGGCUCCCAAGGCAGUGGACACUGUGGGCUCUGGGGACUGCAUGGCUGUGGAGGGGGCAUGUGCUGUUGGGCUCCCAGCCUCUUGGGGUCCUCUCUGUGCCAAGAUAGAGCCUGUUACCCUCCCUGAGCAGGUGUGAGCAGACACCUGUCCCCUGCCCUGCAUGGGAAGUGAACGAUCCACUAAGUGGGGAGGUCAGGGUCAGAUCCCCGGCCUUCCCAUGCAGGAUGACUGCUCAGGCCCAGGACAGUGGGUGGUCAACAGAAACCCCAUCCCUGCCCAUAGAGGGUGCUUCCCAGUUCACAGUGACACAGCCUGGCCUGCUCCUCUUCCAGCCACCCAAGGCAAGACACAGAGCAGGAGGCUGAGGCUGGUGUGAGGGAAAGGGGGAUGCAGCAAGGGGAUACCUCAACCUUGCCCGAGCUACAGACAGGUGAGGACUUCUCCCUCACCUGGUGUUUUCCACUGCAUUCUGAAGAGCAGGUGACACCCACCCCAGGGUGGAUCCAGGAUGGAUCUCUGGGUUUCCUGCCAUCUACAAUGACCCUCCUCAUUUCCCCUGGCUAGCUGCCCCCUAGGAUGGAGAAUGCAUCAUGGUCACUGACACUUGGCGCCCUUUUCCAGCCUCAAUGGCCUGGCAGAGCCAGUGGGGACACAGCAAUAAUGUGGGUGGCAGUAAUAACAGCAGCUGAACCACCUGAGCACCAUCCUGACGAGGCAUAGCCUGAGCUCUGUGAACAGUGAAGUCCAUCUGGUCUCUCAGUGGCCUGAGAGUGACUCUAACUAUUAUCCUCAUUCUCUGAAGGAGGAAAACAAGGCAAGGGGAUUUAAAUAAUUUUUAAAGGUCAGAUACCUUCACAAAGGCUGAAGUGGGAGUCAGAUGAUAGUGUCUGGGUGGAGACCCCAUACUCUUACCCUCAACUCUGAGCCAUCUGCUAUACAACAUCUAUUUGCUGAGUGGAAGGUGUGUAGCCUGAACCAUGCUCACUUCUGGUCCAGAGCUCUUUCCUCAGGGCCCUGGGACAUUCACGUUUAGUGUACAGUGGUAUAUGUAUGCUGAAUUCCUACAUUAGGCCAGCCACAUAGUCAGCACUGAUUGCUAAAAGAAUAACUGAAUAAGGAUAAAUGCUUGAGGGGAUGGAUACCCCAUUCUCCAUGAUGCGAUUAUUUCACAUUCCCUGCUUGUAUCAAAACAUCUCAUGUACCCCAUAAAUAUAUACACCUACUAUGUACUCACAAAAAUUAAAAAAAAAAAAAAAAAAAA
rnacentral:lncRNA from 1 species